rnacentral:rRNA from 1 species
UGGGGAAUAUUGCACAAUGGGCGCAAGCCUGAUGCAGCCAUGCCGCGUGUGUGAAGAAGGCCUUCGGGUUGUAAAGCACUUUCAGCGGGGAGGAAGGCGUUAAGGUUAAUAACCUUGGCGAUUGACGUUACCCGCAGAAGAAGCACCGGCUAACUCCGUGCCAGCAGCCGCGGUAAUACGGAGGGUGCAAGCGUUAAUCGGAAUUACUGGGCGUAAAGCGCACGCAGGCGGUCUGUCAAGUCGGAUGUGAAAUCCCCGGGCUCAACCUGGGAACGGCAUUCGAAACUGGCAGGCUAGAGUCUUGUAGAGGGGGGGAGAAUUCCAGGUGUAGCGGUGAAAUGCGUAGAGAUCUGGAGGAAUACCGGUGGCGAAGGCGGCCCCCUGGACAAAGACUGACGCUCAGGUGCGAAAGCGUGGGGAGCAAACAGG